rnacentral:rRNA from 2 species
AUUCAGAUCUUGGUGAGUGGCGGACGGGUGAGUAACACGUGGGUAACCUGCCCAGAAGUGGGGGAUAACAUUUGGAAACAAGUGCUAAUACCGCAUAACAACUUAGAUCACAUGAUCUUUGUUUAAAAGAUGGUUUUGCUAUCUCUUCUGGAUGGACCCGCGGCGUAUUAGCUAGUUGGUGAGGUAAUAGCUCACCAAGGCGAUGAUACGUAGCCGACCUGAGAGGGUAAUCGGCCACAUUGGGACUGAGACACGGCCCAAACUCCUACGGGAGGCAGCAGUAGGGAAUCUUCCACAAUGGACGAAAGUCUGAUGGAGCAAUGCCGCGUGAGUGAAGAAGGUUUUCGGAUCGUAAAACUCUGUUGUUGAAGAAGAACAUAUGUGAGAGUAACUGUUCACGUACUGACGGUAUUCAACCAGAAAGCCACGGCUAACUACGUGCCAGCAGCCGCGGUAAUACGUAGGUGGCAAGCGUUGUCCGGAUUUAUUGGGCGUAAAGAGAAUGUAGGCGGUUUAUUAAGUUUGAAGUGAAAGCCCUCGGCUCAACCGAGGAAGUGCUUCGAAAACUGGUAAACUUGAGUGCAGAAGAGGAAAGUGGAACUCCAUGUGUAGCGGUGGAAUGCGUAGAUAUAUGGAAGAACACCAGUGGCGAAGGCGGCUUUCUGGUCUGUAACUGACGCUGAGAUUCGAAAGCAUGGGUAGCAAACAGGAUUAGAUACCCUGGUAGUCCAUGCCGUAAACGAUGAGUGCUAAGUGUUGGAGGGUUUCCGCCCUUCAGUGCUGCAGCUAACGCAUUAAGCACUCCGCCGGGGAGUACGAUCGCAAGAUUGAAACUCAAGGAAUUGACGGGGGGCCGC